GCUCGGCACGGCGGCCCGACACCCUCGUUAACCGAGCUAUUUAGCAAACUCCGGGGCCUGUCCUGGACCGGAAGUGACUUCUGCCCAGCCCCUGCCCUCUGAGGACGAAUAGGAUGAGUGCGCGGAGAGACAGGCGGUCCGAGAAGAGCGGGGCCGCCGAGGAAACGGUCUGGCGCACCAGGGAGUCCAGGAAAGUCUCCUUGGGUGGUUCAGUUGCUUCUGUGCCAGACGCAGACGGAUUCCUGCGAGAAGGAAGGACGGAGCGUGCUCCCGGUUGAGGAAAGCGUAGUGAGGAAGACAUGGUGUGACUGCUUAAGAUCUAUAGGGAAAGGAGCCCUGUCUGGCCAUGUGAAGGAAAAUCAUAAGAUUUAGUGUUCGUGGACCAAUGGGUGGGUCAAAGGGUGCUAGAUGGGAGUUGGGAUUUAUUUUCGAUGCAUCUGUGAUUAAGGGUAACAUGUAAAUUAAAAGGAAGAGACUACUGUGAGCAUUGCCUGAGGAGGUGGUGGGCGCCACUGGCUGGGGAUUAGUGAAGAUUUUAGGGAGCCAAAUCCUGACCUGGGCCAGCAGAAGUCGGAGGACCCACUGAUGAUCUGGAGUUUUGACCAGAAGCUAAGACGGGCAGCCCUUGGACUAAAUUCAGUGGGUAGACCAGAGCUGAUGUCUAUACACCCUGCACCAAACUGAUGGUGAGAAUAUUGAAGCACUUCAUGAUGUGAACUUGUCGAGAGCCUGGCCUUGCAUCAUGUCUCUCUGCCCAGAGCAGUGCCUGGCUCAGAAGAAGCGCUCAACUGACCAGCUGACCGAUGCUUUUCAAUCUUCUUCCUACACGUCUUUUCUCUGAGCAAUGGCAAGAUGUUCUCUAGCUUUAUUCUGGGUAUCCUGGUAGUCCCUAGUUCAGGGCUGAACAGUCAUAUGUGUUGAGUAGAGAUAGAGAAAGGGGGUGAGAGUGACUUUUAUCUGGAGCCAGGGGCUGUCAGAUCCAUGUCCCAGGGGACCUCUGCCCUCUGCCUGGUCCACCCUCGCAUGGCACACCCCCCUCCCGGAUGAAGCAGACCCAAUACUGGCACACUUCUCUUUGAUAACAUUGCUCUAAGACUCAGCACUGGGCGAGCAGAGACACAAGCUUUCAGUAAGGCUGCUGGGCCUUAAAUCAUGCCUCUGAUUGGAAGGAAGUGUCCUUGCUGGUGAAAAGCCUCAUGUUUGACUGGAAUCUGAAGCUUCAACUACUCUAUCCAGCACACGUAUUUUUCCUGUGCUCCAUGCCAAUGAGAUUACUGCUGAGUUUCUAAUGCUGCAGGGUGGGCGUGGCCUCCCAUAGGAUGCUGCAACUAUGCCUGAGUUAUCCAGUUGUCCUCUCAGUGACAGCUGACCACUUCCUCCCAGAGCUCCUCUGUGUAGCCUGGACCAGCCUUCUGCAUGAGACAGGUGUGCUUCCCAACUUGGCUGUUAUCCGUAAUGUCUCUCAAGGAGCCCAAAUGCCUCUCAAGAGGCUUGGGGCCACAUCUGCCACAAGGAGGCGGGCUCCUGCACUUUGUCUAAUGUUCCCAAGCUCCCACAGGGCAAUGCAAAGCCCACCUUCUAAACAACCACCACCCUGGAGUUUGGUGCCAGAGCCCAGAGCAAUUGAGUGGGAGGUCAGAUCCUUCCCCUUUGAAUAACAACUGGAAGAAUCAACCGAAAUGUCCAUCUCUUGGUGAUUAGUUUAAGAAGUUAUGCUACAUCUAUGGCUGCUUUAGAUAUAGUGUUGAAUGAAAGAAGAAUGGAUUAGAACCAUGUUAUAUAUGUAAAAAUAAAAGAACAUGCAUAUAUAUAUUCCUUUGUAAUGUAUCUAUUCCCUUAGCUCAGUAUUUUUCUUCAAGAAAAUCUGGUGGGAUACACCAGGAGUUGGCAAAGCUUUCCUGUGAAGGGCUGGGGAGUAAAUAUUCUAGGCUUUGUGGGCCAGAGGUCUCUACUGCAGCCCCUCAGCUCUGCUGUUGCUGCAUGAAAGCCCCACAGACAAUCCAGAAGUGAUGAGUACGACUGUGUGCCGAUAAAACAUUAUUUACAAAAACAGCUGGUGGGAUUUGUAGUAAACAAAAAUGUUGAAGUUUGGAGAGGAAAAUACCUAAGAGAUAGUUAAGAAGGGACUCAGCACUAUAAACCCUUGGCACUUGCCAGGCAUGCAGGGCUUCCCUCACUGAAAUGAACUAAAUCACCUUGUCAGGAGACAUCCACGGCCCAGACUGCUUGAGUCCUCCCCUUCGGCAGGAG